CCCUUAGAUGUUCUGGGCCGCACGCGCGCUACACUGAUGCAUUCAACGAGUCUAAAACCUGCUCUGAUAGGGGUGGGUAAUCUUUUGAAUGUGCAUCGUGAUUGGGAUAGAUGAUUGCAAUUUUUCAUCUUCAACGAGGAAUGCCUAGUAAACGCAAGUCAUCAGCUUGCAUUGAUUACGUCCCUGCCCUUUGUACACACCGCCCGUCGCUCCUACCGAUUGAAUGAUCCGAUGAAUAUCAUGGAUUGAGGAUGCAAGCAGGUUCGCCUGUCUUCAUCUUCGAGAAGUGAAGUAAAUCUUAUCAUGUAGAGGAAGGAGAAGUCGUAACA
rnacentral:rRNA from 1 species